AGCACCGGCUAACUCCGUGCCAGCAGCCGCGGUAAUACGGAGGGUGCGAGCGUUAAUCGGAAUUACUGGGCGUAAAGCGCAUGCAGGUGGUUUGUUAAGUCAGAUGUGAAAGCCCGGGGCUCAACCUCGGAAUUGCAUUUGAAACUGGCAGGCUAGAGUACUGUAGAGGGGGGUAGAAUUUCAGGUGUAGCGGUGAAAUGCGUAGAGAUCUGAAGGAAUACCGGUGGCGAAGGCGGCCCCCUGGACAGAUACUGACACUCAGAUGCGAAAGCGUGGGGAGCAAACAGGAUUAGAUACCCUGGUAGUCCACGCCGUAAACGAUGUCUACUUGGAGGUUGUGGCCUUGAGCCGUGGCUUUCGGAGCUAACGCGUUAAGUAGACCGCCUGGGGAGUACGGUCGCAAGAUUAAAACUCAAAUGAAUUGACGGGGGCCCGCACAAGCGGUGGAGCAUGUGGUUUAAUUCGAUGCAACGCGAAGAACCUUACCUACUCUUGACAUCCAGAGAACUUAGCAGAGAUGCUUUGGUGCCUUCGGGAACUCUGAGACAGGUGCUGCAUGGCUGUCGUCAGCUCGUGUUGUGAAAUGUUGGGUUAAGUCCCGCAACGAGCGCAACCCUUAUCCUUGUUUGCCAGCGAGUAAUGUCGGGAACUCCAGGGAGACUGCCGGUGAUAAACCGGAGGAAGGUGGGGACGACGUCAAGUCAUCAUGGCCCUUACGAGUAGGGCUACACACGUGCUACAAUGGCGCAUACAGAGGGCGGCCAACUCGCGAGAGUGAGCGAAUCCCAAAAAGUGCGUCGUAGUCCGGAUUGGAGUCUGCAACUCGACUCCAUGAAGUCGGAAUCGCUAGUAAUCGUGAAUCAGAAUGUCACGGUGAAUACGUUCCCGGGCCUUGUACACACCGCCCGUCACACCAUGGGAGUGGGCUGCAAAAGAAGCAGGUAGUUUAACCUUCGGGAGGACGCUUGCCACUUUGUGG
rnacentral:rRNA from 1 species